AAUCCCAUGGACAGAGGAGCCUGGUAGGCUACAGUCCAUGGGGUCGCAAAGAAUCAGACACAACUGAGCGACUUCACUUUCCAUCCAAUCAGGUAACAUGGUUUUAUACCCUUGCUUACAGAUUCCAAAGAACUUUCACGUACAGCAUCCCGUUUGAUCCUUUCGCUCCUGUGUACUGAACCAUGCAGAAUUGAAGCUGCCUUCCCCCAGUGGACCAGUAUCCGACGAGGCACACUUUCCUCUCUUCAGCCAAGCACACGAUCCACAAGCAGGGGUGACAGUCUUGCUCAGUGUGCCUGACUCUGCCCUGGGCACCGCCUUCCCCUCAGUUCAGGGUCUCUGCUCUGGUUCCCUGUUGGUGUGAAGCGCAGCAUGGAUCAUGUGUCCACAUGUGAGGGAUGAAGGAAGUGAAGAGGGUGGAAAGCGGAUUCAUGGAAAGGAAAGCCGUAUUCAUUCCUCCCUUUAAAUAGCUAGUGUCUCCCAUGCACUUGAAAUGUCCAGUGCUGGGCACACACCGUGAUGACAGCAGGCUGAGCCCAGCCUCUCGAGCCCACAUUCAGGUGGGCGAGACCCUCACCAGGGAGAGUUUCUAGUACUGUUGAGAGAAAAAGGCAGGAAGGGGCCGGCAAGGGCCAGGUGAAGGGGGAGGACACAAAACCCUGCAAGCGUUUCCAUCCUCACGGAUGGUAUGGUUGUGUUUGUUCAACGAGGCCGCAUUGGUGAGCGCUGACACCCUGUCUCUGUGUGUUCCUCUGCAUCUGGAGAGGCUGUGUUCCCAGCCUGGCUCUGCUGCCUUGUGCCCAGGCUGAGCCCCUUGGCGUUUCCUUGUCUUGCUGGCCAGCGGGGAAUGGUGGGUGCAUGAGCCAGGUUCAGUUGUCACAUUGCACUGAUGGUGUGGGCUGGUGUCUCCUCACAAUGGAAACGCAGGCCAAGCCACACCCCAGGAUGGUUUUUGCAGAACUUCAGAACUCAUGACCGAAACCAGAUCCUCCCACUUCCAGCCUCUGGAGGGUGAUGCCGCUUGUCAGGAGGAAAGACUGUCUGGAACACUGGCAAACUGAUCUGAGAGGCGGGAGAGAGGGUUAACCGAGGAGGUUUCCCUCUCAAGUCUGCAAGUUGGCCUCUGUGGUGUUCAACCUGUGCCCCUUCCCACCCCCUAAAUGAAGAAAAUAAAAGGACAGCAAUAUCGAGGUCCUGGAAUCCUUGAGAAACCUUUGUUUAUGCCUUUUCAUCUAUCUCUAAAACCUGGACUUGAAUUGCCCAGGAUGCUGGUGAUGGGUCAGUGGAGCUGGGAUGCAAGUAGCUACUUGGGGCAGGGUGGGGGGCUCUUGGUAGAGAUCCUGCGCCCUCAGAGCUGAGGAGGACACUCAGGAGGUCUUCUGACACCUGUCCGACUGGUUUCUAGGGAGGGUAGCUAGGCGUGUAUUUGCAUAUAAAUGAAAGCACCUUAGGGCAUCACUACUGAAAACCUUUGAAAGUGGGAUACAGUUAAGUGCCUGUAUUAAAAGAAAGCCCAGCUCUUAUCUCGCAUUAAGACUCUGCAGCAUUUAAUAAACGCAUAUUAGUGUUUGACGACUCCUCGUCUCUGUAUUCUUUUCCCUCCAGCACUGCUGUCUCCACAGGGGUGGCUCGCUUCCCAAUUUGAAGUGGUGACUUAAGUCUUUGGUGGAGUCUGCACAGCUCUUGAAAAGGAUAAGCAGUAGAGUUUGAUGUCUGGAGUCCCGUGGUCUAGUUAUUUUUGGUGGAAUUUUUAAAAAAAUGUUAGAACUGAGUCGCAGGUUUGUGGUAAUAGUGGAUCCAGGAAGCUUGCAGUGAAAAAGAGGAUGAACUUAACCUGAAAAAUAUUUCUCUAUUCUAUAAAUCUCUCAGUGACAUUUGGAUUAAUCAAGCAUAAUUAAAUGUAGUUAGAUUUUUGUCAGAUUGUGGUUUAAAAUAAUAUUCAUCUAUGAAGAGAGUAAUGUAUUCUGUAGAAAUUUUAUUAGGCACUUUAGUUAAGCAAAUACUAAGAACAAAAUCAGCCUCAGGAAGGUUAAUUACCAAAAAAAAAGUAUAGUAGAUUAUGUAAAUCAUUUUAAUUUUGAAUACCAUGGCUGAAGCUUUAAUUUACAUAGAGAAGUAUUUUGGAUUUGUUUUUCACAUCACAUUUUUCAAAAGUACAAAAUUGUGAUUGCAUUCUUUAAAAGUUCUCAUCAUUUGAGGAUUCCAUUAAGUCUGCUUAACUUUUUCAUGUUAUAGUUUCCAAAAGUGAAGAAUUAUAGUUGCAUUCUUUAAUAUGCCAACUAAUUUUAACAGUUGCUUUAAAGGGAGAGAGAGAGCAAAUUGAUUUUAGAAGUUGGUUUUUUUUUUUUUUGUAUUCAGUUACAUUUUCACUACCCUUGCAUGUCUCAGGGAAUAGCCUUUGAUAAGAUUCCUCAUGGAUAUCUCUGGAAGUCUAUUCUGGUGUGCUCAGAUUUGAUCAUUCUUGUCUAAACUUCUAGAGCUAAAGUUUGAAACGUGUUGUCAUCUCAGGAACACAAGGUUACCCAAGAAACUUGAACUCCAUCUUUAUCAGUUCUCAGAUUCUGUGUGCUUUUUCAUAAUAAAAGGACACCUUAAAGUCCUUUGUGUAGUAGGUAUAAAGACCUCCUUAUCGCUCUUCUCUGAGAUUUUCAUAGAAGAACCCUGCAUUUUGAUUUUGUUUGAUCAUUUUGCUUCUUGACUUUUCAGUGAAGAUUCUAUUUCCCACUGGAAUUGAAUCCUUGUGGGAUAACAAAAUUUCACUUAAAAGUACAUUCUGUUAGAUAAUUCUAACUUUUGACAACCUCUAAGUGGCCUGCUAAUUUUUGCAAAUGGGCCAAAACAGCACAAAUGUCAAAGAUAUAAGCUCUGUGUUCGCCCUGUAGUUAGCCAAGUAAAGAAAUGUCUAAUCCUAGCACUUAGGAGCGGCUUAAUAGCUCUUCAGUUUAUCUCUGCAUUCCAAAUUGGUUGAAAAUGGCACAUUCAGAAUGGAAUGCUUAUUAAUAACAGAACUAGUUAAUGUUUUAAAAUAGUCUUACCUUGAGAUUCUUUUUGAGAAAAAAGUGACUCUUAACAUUCAGUUCUGUUUUGGCUCUUCAUACAUGCCGUGAUCGGAAGUCACAGACAUUUGCCAUUUAGCCAUGCUUGAUGUACAAGAACAGUGAUGAAGAGUUGACAAAAACAGGCAGAAUGGAUAUAAGAUGCUACAUUGCUGCUGAGAAUGCAUCAUAGCACCGCUUUCUUGUAAAUUCCAUUUUCUUUUGCCAUUUGAACUUUUAUAUCCAUGAGAAACCUCAGUCAGUAUUUCUAAAGACAUUAUAUUUACAUUAAGAAUUGGCCUGUGCCUUUACCAAAAACUUCCUUUACCUAGAACUUCCCUGGUGGCUCAGACGGUAAAGUGUCUGCCUAUAAUGUGGGAGACCCGGGUCAAUCCCUGGGUCAGGAAGAUGAUCUGGAGAAGGAAAUGGCACCCCACUCCAGUAUUCUUGCCUGGAAAAUCCCAUGGACAGAGGAGCCUGGUAGGCUACAGUCCAUGGGGUCCCAAAGAGUUGGACACAACUGAGCGACUUCACUUUCACUUUUACCUAAAACACUGCUGAGGUCAUUGUCUGCCAUAUUUAAUUAGGACAAAUGUUUUAGAGUCAUUACAACUGAAGCCUGUAGGGAUCUGAAAACGCGGGACCACCUGCCGCUGCCAAGGAACCAGGCUGGGUGGCAGGCUUCGCAGCCUGGUGUGUGCCGAUGGCUGUCACAACUAGUAUAAAACCUAAAAUAGAUGCUAGCCACGAUCCCGUAUCUGCUCCUGUUUUCUCUACCUGCCUUUGUAACUCUUGGGGAAAAUGUAUGUCAAGUCCUUUGAUGUCUUGCUCUUUUAAAUUCCUGUUCAUGCUGGUGUGUGAAUUUGACCAAUAAGUUGUGCAUGUGCUUAAUAUUCUUUUUUAAACUAGACCAAACUAAAUAUAUCUUGGCUCUGAGUAAACAGCCAAGGCAGGGUUUACCUAGAAGGUAUAAAGUUUAAGCACUUUAAAAAUGCAAGUUGGCUGUAUUCAGGGUUGGAGGAAUCCAGUGUGGUUGCCUCUUUGUUUCUGUUGUUCACUGUUGUUAUUCUGUCCUCAACGCGCUGCACUGGAAUCAAAUGCUCCACUCUGCUGAAACACCUAGGCUGUGUUCAAGUCACUACUGGACAGCAUGACACACAUUUUAAGAGAGUGAACCCUACCCCAUUAGCAUCCUGGCUGACCCCAAUCUCUGCAGGGUUCCUUGGUGUUAAAGUCAUUUGAAGUUGUGAUUGCUGCUUUGGGUUUAUAUACUAAUCAUGCCAUCUGUUGCUCUAAGUUCACAUCCUUACAAAAGUACAUGAGUGCUUGUAAUGUCAAUAUUUCCCAGAUUUAGAAUACAAGUUGUGAAUACUCAUGAAGUGCUUGAACCGAAAAAGAAAAGUCAAUGUGAAGUAGAAUAUACUAUUGUGGACAAAUUUAAUGUUGCAUUGAAAUGUAAAGUCACUUGGCUGAUUUUUUUUUUUUUAAUCAUCACUGCUUAACUCAUGAACAAUGCCUAAACUGAGAACGUGAGCUGAUUUAACAAGAGAAGAGUAAUGUAUAUAUGAAAUGAAAGUUCAUUACCACGUUUGUGUCCCUAAGUCCAAAUCUGACCUGCUUGGCUUUGAGCAGCAGUCAGUUUAGUUGCAGUGAAAUGUACGUGUGUUUCCAGGGUUCACGAACUGCCUCAUGUUUAUAGAGGGAAGCCCGGCCCCUUGUGUUCUGUGCUAUUCUGUGGCCUGGCUGGUACACACUAUCACGAGUGAAGAAUGACUUUGGUUUGAGGGUUUGUUUUUGUGAUGGUUGGAAAAACAUGACUGGGGAAGUGUGUGGCUCAGAUAAUGUCCCCCAUCAGUCGGGGAGUCAUCUGUGGUGUGUGUAAUAGCCAGACGAAUCCUGGAGCAUGUGGGCAGUCCUGUACACAGUCAUUGAACAAUAAAGUGGUGGUUGUGUUUCCCUGA